UACAGAGGUCCCAAGCGUUGUUCGGAUUCACUGGGCGUAAAGGGUGCGUAGGCGGUCGGGUAAGUCUGAUGUGAAAUCUCGCAGCUUAACUGCGAAACUGCAUUUGAUACUAUCCGACUAGAGGAAUGGAGAGGAGAGUGGAAUACUUGGUGUAGCAGUGAAAUGCGUAGAUAUCAAGUGGAACACCAGUGGCGAAGGCGAGUCUCUGGACAUUUACUGACGCUGAGGCACGAAAGCCAGGGGAGCAAACGGG
rnacentral:rRNA from 1 species